UUUCAUAACGUUCCGUAUUUUUUAUAUAUAUGUAGUAACUUGCCACUUGUCUGCCCAGCUAGAAUACGGUUUAAAUCAUCGUUCAGACAGGAUGCGGCUGUAUCGUGAUCAUCUACAAUUACGU